GCUGCGGGCGAGACACUGCGUGGUGGCUGCAGAACACCAGAGCGGGGCCCGGUCCCAGCUCCUCGUCCCCAAGAACGCCUUUCUCUUCUCUAGUCAUUAUCUAGCACCUGGAAUGCUCUUUCAAAGGCCAGAAAAGCCAAAUAAUGCAGAACAAAGCAUGCUAAUGAGAGAAGUGUAUUGCAAUGCACUUGAUGAGUUCCAGAGAGAGAAGUGUACUGCUUUAUGCACUUGAUGUGUUCCAGAGAGAGAAAAGUGUACUGCUAUGCACUUGAUGAGUUCCAGAGAGAGAAGUGUACUGCUAUGCACUUGAUGUGUUCCAGAGAGAGAAGUGUACUGCUAUGCACUUGAUGUGUUCCAGAGAGAGAAGUGUACUGCUAUGCACUUGAUGUGUUCCAGAGAGAGAAGUGUACUGCUUUAUGCACUUGAUGUGUUCCAGAGAGAGAGAAGUGUACUGCUAUGCACUUGAUGUGUUCCAGAGAAGCUGUUUCGCUGACAUCUGCAAGUGGGAUUGUUUCACACCUCACACAAGCACACUGUGACUUUAAGAGUGUGACAGUCCUUCCUAAAUGUGUCAUCAGCAAUCACCUGCUUGGGUGUCAUGGGGGAGGCCCCAGUCCAACCCGCAAGGAGCAGCCGCCGAGUUUCAGUGGGCGCCGGCACAGUCCAAGGCGGCGCUGGGUCCUGGACCUCAGCGAGGGCCGUCAUCACCUCGUCACCUCUGCCUGCCGAGCUCUCGUCCCGCUGAGACCUGAGCGCUCAGUGCGGGAGGCCUUCCGGGACGCGGUGCCCAUGGCUCCUCUGGGGCGGGCCUUCCUGGCCGGCCCACCCAGGAUGACAGCUCCACGCCCAUGCCAGCUCUGCCCCUCACCCCGCACUGCUGUUUGAUAUAAACCUACUCAUUUUCUGUGCUCUUCCCCAGUAAAACAUUUGCUCUGUGA